UACAGAGGGGGCAAGCGUUGUUCGGAAUUACUGGGCGUAAAGGGCGCGUAGGCGGCCUUCUAAGUCGGACGUGAAAUCCCUCGGCUUAACCGAGGAACUGCGUCCGAUACUGAAAGGCUUGAAUCCGGGAGAGGGAUGUGGAAUUCCUGGUGUAGCGGUGAAAUGCGCAGAUAUCAGGAGGAACACCGAUGGCGAAGGCAGCUCGCUGGGACGGUACUGACGCUGAGGCGCGAAAGCGUGGGGAGCAAACAGG
rnacentral:rRNA from 1 species